GGUACUUGUACCGACUGGAUGAGCAGCGAACGGGUGAGUAACGCGUGGGGAAUCUGCCUUUGAGCGGGGGACAACAUUUGGAAACGAAUGCUAAUACCGCAUAAAAACUUUAAACACAAGUUUUAAGUUUGAAAGAUGCAAUUGCAUCACUCAAAGAUGAUCCCGCGUUGUAUUAGCUAGUUGGUGAGGUAAAGGCUCACCAAGGCGAUGAUACAUAGCCGACCUGAGAGGGUGAUCGGCCACAUUGGGACUGAGACACGGCCCAAACUCCUACGGGAGGCAGCAGUAGGGAAUCUUCGGCAAUGGACGAAAGUCUGACCGAGCAACGCCGCGUGAGUGAAGAAGGUUUUCGGAUCGUAAAACUCUGUUGGUAGAGAAGAACGUUGGUGAGAGUGGAAAGCUCAUCAAGUGACGGUAACUACCCAGAAAGGGACGGCUAACUACGUGCCAGCAGCCGCGGUAAUACGUAGGUCCCGAGCGUUGUCCGGAUUUAUUGGGCGUAAAGCGAGCGCAGGUGGUUUAUUAAGUCUGGUGUAAAAGGCAGUGGCUCAACCAUUGUAUGCAUUGGAAACUGGUAGACUUGAGUGCAGGAGAGGAGAGUGGAAUUCCAUGGGUAACCGGGUGAG
rnacentral:rRNA from 1 species